GACGAACGCUGGCGGCGUGCUUAACACAUGCAAGUCGAACGGUAAGGCCCUUCGGGGUACGACGAGUGGCGAACGGGUGGAGUAACACGUGGGUGAUCUGCCCUGCACUUCGGGAUAAGCCUGGGAAACUGGGUCUAAUACCGGAUAGGACCAUGGACUUCACGGUUUGUGGUGGAAAGCUUUUGCGGUGUGGGAUGGGCCCGCGGCCUAUCAGCUUGUUGGUGGGGUAAUGGCCUACCAAGGCGACGACGGGUAGCCGGCCUGAGAGGGUGUCCGGCCACACUGGGACUGAGAUACGGCCCAGACUCCUACGGGAGGCAGCAGUGGGGAAUAUUGCACAAUGGGCGCAAGCCUGAUGCAGCGACGCCGCGUGAGGGAUGACGGCCUUCGGUUGGUAACCUACUUUCAAUAGGACGAAGCGCAAGUGACGGUACCGUAUAGAAGAAGCACCGGCCAACUACGUGCCAGCAGCCGCGGUAAGU
rnacentral:rRNA from 1 species